UAACGGCUCUCCUGAAAAUUGCUUGUCAACUCAUCAUCUAAAUCUGCCAGCCUCCACCAUGGAUUUACAUUAUUAAUGACAGGACGUAGAGUUAGUUUGACAGGUUUACAAGUUUAGUUUCUGGAACUGGAAAACUUUUAGCAUGAUAAUAUGCUAACACUGGAACUGGAAAUACACAGUUUUCUCAACGGCUAGUUAACAUUUGAGGUCCUACUGGUAUCCCUCCGCGGUUGAUUGGUAGCUGGAAAUGUAACGACAGGCUGAAGCUGGACCCUUGGAGGUCCCUCACGCCUCCGUGCCGGGUGCAGGGGCGCGUCGGAGUGUCCAGAUCUGAAACCCCAAAGUCCCUCUUUCCUAAGUUGAGCACCGGAACAACUUCCCCUGUGUAGGGCUCCCGUUCAACUGGUUUCACAGCCUGGCUCUGCAGGACGUUACCUUGGUGCCGCUGUAGAAGUCGUCCGCCGUGGUGGCGUUCAUGAAGCUCUCCUCCAGGUGGACGCUGGUGUCGAUGCCUCCGGGGAGGACCAGCUUUCCCGUGGCGUCGAUCACUUUGGCUCCACCUGGGAUCAUCAUCUCCU